rnacentral:rRNA from 1 species
GUGAACGCUGGCGGUAGGCCUAACACAUGCCAGUCGCACGGCAGCACAGUAAGCGCUUGCUCUUACGGGUGGCGAGUGGCGGACGGGUGAGGAAUACAUCGGAAUCUACUUUUUCGUGGGGGAUAACGUAGGGAAACUUACGCUAAUACCGCAUACGACCUACGGGUGAAAGCAGGGGAUCUUCGGACCUUGCGCGAUUGAAUGAGCCGAUGUCGGAUUAGCUAGUUGGCGGGGUAAAGGCCCACCAAGGCGACGAUCCGUAGCUGGUCUGAGAGGAUGAUCAGCCACACUGGAACUGAGACACGGUCCAGACUCCUACGGGAGGCAGCAGUGGGGAAUAUUGGACAAUGGGCGCAAGCCUGAUCCAGCCAUACCGCGUGGGUGAAGAAGGCCUUCGGGUUGUAAAGCCCCUUUGUUGGGAAAGAAAAGCAGCAGGUUAAUACCCCGCUGUUCUGACGGUACCCAAAGAAUAAGCACCGGCUAACUUCGUG